rnacentral:rRNA from 1 species
GACGAACGCUGGCGGCGUGCCUAACACAUGCAAGUCGAGCGAAGUAUAUCUGAGGGAAAUUUUCGGAUGGAACUUAGAUAUAUCUUAGCGGCGGACGGGUGAGUAACGCGUGAGCAACCUGCCUUUCACAAAGGGAUAGCCUCGGGAAACUGGGAUUAAUACCAUAUAAAACUUGUCUUUCGCAUGAAAGAAAAGUCAAAGCGAAUAAGCGGUGAAAGAUGGGCUCGCGUCCUAUUAGCUAGUUGGUGAGGUAACGGCUCACCAAGGCGACGAUAGGUAGCCGGCCUGAGAGGGUGAACGGCCACACUGGAACUGAGACACGGUCCAGACUCCUACGGGAGGCAGCAGUGGGGGAUAUUGCACAAUGGAGGAAACUCUGAUGCAGCGACGCCGCGUGAGUGAAGAAGGCCUUCGGGUCGUAAAGCUCUGUCCUAGGGGAGAUAAUGACGGUACCCUAGGAGGAAGCCCGGCUAACUACGUGCCAGCAGCCGCGGUAAAAGUACUCUAC